AACGCGAAGAACCUUACCCAGGUUUGAAAUACAGAGGACAGCUCCAGAGAUGGAGUCUCCCGCAAGGGUCUUUGUACAGGUGCUGCAUGGCUGUCGUCAGCUCGUGCCGUGAGGUGUUGGGUUAAGUCCCGCAACGAGCGCAACCCUUAUCAUUAGUUGCCAACACGCGAGGUGGGAACUCUAAUGAGACUGCCCGGGUUAACCGGGAGGAAGGUGAGGAUGACGUCAAGUCCGCAUGGCCUUUAUACCUGGGGCUACACACGUUCUACAAUGGUCGGUACAGAAGGCAGCAAGACCGCAAGGUGGAGCAAAUCCCUAAAACCGAUCUCAGUUCGGAUUGUAGUCUGCAACUCGGCUACAUGAAGUUGGAAUUGCUAGUAAUGACGUGUCAGCAAUAACGUCGUGAAUACGUUCCCGGGCCUUGUA
rnacentral:rRNA from 1 species